rnacentral:rRNA from 1 species
GUUUGAUUAUGGCUCAGAUUGAACGCUGGCGGAUGCUUUGGCACAUGCAAGCUCAACGGCAGCACGGACUUAUCUGGUGGCGAGUGGCGAACGGGUGAGUAAUGUAUCGGAACGUGCCUAGUAGCGGGGGAUAACUAUGCUGGAAAGCGUAGCUAAUGGCUUCGCACGCCCUUCGGGGAAAGCGGGGGGACCUUCGGGCCUCGCACUAUUAGAGCGGCCGAUAUCGGAUUAGCUAUUGGUGGGGUAACGGCUCACUCGGCUGGCAGACGAGAUCCGUAGCUGGUUUGAGUGACGACCAGCCACACUGGGACUGAGGAUACGGCCCAGACUCUACGGGGAGCAGCAGGGGGAAUUUUCGGAUAAUGAACCCCGAUCCAGCCAUCCUGCGUGUGCGAUGAAGGCCUUCGGGUAUUGUAAAAGCACUUUGCAGGAAAGAAACGGCACGGGAUAAUACCCUCGUGCAACUGACGGUACUCUCAGAAUAAGACCACAACUACGUGCCAGCAGCCGCGGUAUGCAGGGUGCAAAAGCGACCGGAAUACUGGGCGGAAGCGUGUGCAGGCGGUUCGGAAAGAAAGAUGAAAUCCUAGAGCUUAACUUUCAAACUGCAUUUUUAACUACCGAGCUAGAGUGCGUCAGAGGGAGUGUGGAAUUCGCGUAGCAGUGAAAUGCGUAGAUAAGGUGAGGAACACCUCACGGCGAAGACAGCCUCCUGGGAUAACACUGACGCUCAUGCACGAAAGCGUGGGGAGCAAAACAGGAUUAGAUACUCCUGGUGGUAGUCCACGCCCUAAACGAUGUCAACUAGCUGUUGGGGCCUUCGGCCCUUGGUAGCGCAGGCCAACGCGUGAAGCGACCGCCUGGGGAGCAUGGUCGCAAGAUUAAAACUCAAAGGAAUUGACGGGGACCUGCACAAGCGGUGGAUGAUGUGGAUUAAUUCGAUGCAACGCGAAAACCUUACCUACCCUUGACAUGUCUGGAAUCCCGAAGAGAUUUGGGAGUGCUCGCAAGGAGAACUGAACACAGGUGCUGCAUGGCUGUCGUCAGCCCGUGUUUGUGGGAGAUGCUGGGCUAAGUCCCGCAACGAGCGCAGCCCUUGUCAUUAGUUGCUGAUGAAAGGGCACUCUAUCGAGACUGCCGGUGAAACCGAGGGAAGGUGGGACACGUCAAGUCCUCAUGGCCCUUAUGGUAAACACACGUCAUACAAUGGUCGGGCAGAGGGCUGCCAGUCCGCGAGGGAGCUAUCCCAGAAACCCGAUCGUAGUCCGGAUCGUAGUCUGCAACUCGACUGCGUGAAGUCGGGAAAUCGCUAGUAAUCGCGGAUCAGCAUGUCGCGGUGAAUACGUUCCCGGGUCUUGUACACACCGCCCGUCACACCAUGGGAGUGGGUUUUACCAGAAGCAGUUAGCCUAACCGUAAGGAGGGCGAUUACCACGGUAGGAUUCAUGACUGGGGUGAAGUCGUACGCAAGGUAG